UUAAGUUAUUAAGGGCGCACGGUGGAUGCCUUGGCACUAGAAGCCGAUGAAGGACGUUACUAACGACGAUAUGCUUUGGGGAGCUGUAAGUAAGCUUUGAUCCAGAGAUUUCCGAAUGGGGAAACCCAGCAUGAGUUAUGUCAUGUUAUCGAUAUGUGAAUACAUAGCAUAUCAGAAGGCACACCCGGAGAACUGAAACAUCUUAGUACCCGGAGGAAGAGAAAGAAAAUUCGAUUCCCUUAGUAGCGGCGAGCGAAACGGGAAGAGCCCAAACCAACAAGCUUGCUUGUUGGGGUUGUAGGACACUCUAUACGGAGUUACAAAGGACGACAUUAGACGAAUCAUCUGGAAAGAUGAAUCAAAGAAGGUAAUAAUCCUGUAGUCGAAAAUGUUGUCUCUCUUGAGUGGAUCCUGAGUACGACGGAGCACGUGAAAUUCCGUCGGAAUCUGGGAGGACCAUCUCCUAAGGCUAAAUACUCUCUAGUGACCGAUAGUGAACCAGUACCGUGAGGGAAAGGUGAAAAGCACCCCGGAAGGGGAGUGAAAUAGAACCUGAAACCGUGUGCUUACAAGUAGUCAGAGCCCGUUAAUGGGUGAUGGCGUGCCUUUUGUAGAAUGAACCGGCGAGUUACGAUUUGAUGCAAGGUUAAGCAGUAAAUGUGGAGCCGUAGCGAAAGCGAGUCUGAAUAGGGCGUUUAGUAUUUGGUCGUAGACCCGAAACCAGGUGAUCUACCCUUGGUCAGGUUGAAGUUCAGGUAACACUGAAUGGAGGACCGAACCGACUUACGUUGAAAAGUGAGCGGAUGAACUGAGGGUAGCGGAGAAAUUCCAAUCGAACCUGGAGAUAGCUGGUUCUCUCCGAAAUAGCUUUAGGGCUAGCCUCAAGUGAUGAUUAUUGGAGGUAGAGCACUGUUUGGACGAGGGGCCCCUCUCGGGUUACCGAAUUCAGACAAACUCCGAAUGCCAAUUAAUUUAACUUGGGAGUCAGAACAUGGGUGAUAAGGUCCGUGUUCGAAAGGGAAACAGCCCAGACCACCAGCUAAGGUCCCAAAAUAUAUGUUAAGUGGAAAAGGAUGUGGCGUUGCCCAGACAACUAGGAUGUUGGCUUAGAAGCAGCCAUCAUUUAAAGAGUGCGUAAUAGCUCACUAGUCGAGUGACACUGCGCCGAAAAUGUACCGGGGCUAAACAUAUUACCGAAGCUGUGGAUUGUCCUUUGGACAAUGGUAGGAGAGCGUUCUAAGGGCGUUGAAGCAUGAUCGUAAGGACAUGUGGAGCGCUUAGAAGUGAGAAUGCCGGUGUGAGUAGCGAAAGACGGGUGAGAAUCCCGUCCACCGAUUGACUAAGGUUUCCAGAGGAAGGCUCGUCCGCUCUGGGUUAGUCGGGUCCUAAGCUGAGGCCGACAGGCGUAGGCGAUGGAUAACAGGUUGAUAUUCCUGUACCACCUAUAAUCGUUUUAAUCGAUGGGGGGACGCAGUAGGAUAGGCGAAGCGUGCGAUUGGAUUGCACGUCUAAGCAGUAAGGCUGAGUAUUAGGCAAAUCCGGUACUCGUUAAGGCUGAGCUGUGAUGGGGAGAAGACAUUGUGUCUUCGAGUCGUUGAUUUCACACUGCCGAGAAAAGCCUCUAGAUAGAAAAUAGGUGCCCGUACCGCAAACCGACACAGGUAGUCAAGAUGAGAAUUCUAAGGUGAGCGAGCGAACUCUCGUUAAGGAACUCGGCAAAAUGACCCCGUAACUUCGGGAGAAGGGGUGCUCUUUAGGGUUAACGCCCAGAAGAGCCGCAGUGAAUAGGCCCAAGCGACUGUUUAUCAAAAACACAGGUCUCUGCUAAACCGUAAGGUGAUGUAUAGGGGCUGACGCCUGCCCGGUGCUGGAAGGUUAAGAGGAGUGGUUAGCUUCUGCGAAGCUACGAAUCGAAGCCCCAGUAAACGGCGGCCGUAACUAUAACGGUCCUAAGGUAGCGAAAUUCCUUGUCGGGUAAGUUCCGACCCGCACGAAAGGCGUAACGAUUUGGGCACUGUCUCAACGAGAGACUCGGUGAAAUCAUAGUACCUGUGAAGAUGCAGGUUACCCGCGACAGGACGGAAAGACCCCGUGGAGCUUUACUGUAGCCUGAUAUUGAAAUUCGGCACAGCUUGUACAGGAUAGGUAGGAGCCUUUGAAACGUGAGCGCUAGCUUACGUGGAGGCGCUGGUGGGAUACUACCCUAGCUGUGUUGGCUUUCUAACCCGCACCACUUAUCGUGGUGGGAGACAGUGUCAGGCGGGCAGUUUGACUGGGGCGGUCGCCUCCUAAAAGG
rnacentral:rRNA from 1 species